UGCGCAGGCGGUUUUGUAAGUCAGAUGUUAAAUCCCCGAGCUCAACUUGGGAACUGCGUUUGAAACUACAAGACUAGAAUAGGUCAGAGGGGGGUAGAAUUCCACGUGUAGCAGUGAAAUGCGUAGAGAUGUGGAGGAAUACCAAUGGCGAAGGCAGCCCCCUGGGAUCAUAUUGACGCUCAUGCACGAAAGCGUGGGGAGCAAACAGGAUUAGAUACCCUGGUAGUCC
rnacentral:rRNA from 1 species